rnacentral:rRNA from 1 species
UACGUAGGGCGCAAGCGUUUGUCCGGAAUUAUUGGGCGUAAAGAGCUCGUAGGCGGUUUGUCGCGUCUGCUGUGAAAACCUAAGGCUCAACCUUGGGCUUGCAGUGGGUACGGGCAGACUAGAGUGCGGUAGGGGUGACUGGAAUUCCUGGUGUAGCGGUGGAAUGCGCAGAUAUCAGGGAGGAACACCGAGUGGCGAAAGGCAGGUCACUGGGCCGGCAACU